rnacentral:lncRNA from 1 species
GACUCUUGUUCAGUCUAUCACAAAUCUAAGUGUCUAGACUUGGAUCCACCUCCAGAAAUUUCCACUUUCCAUGAAGCUUACGUUCACCCCAUGUUUUAAUAUCUUUAAUUAUGUAUUCUGUUUAGACUAUUUCAUGUUAUUAUCUUUGUGAACCUAUCUUUGUUAUUUGAUUUGGAUGUUAACUUUUAUUUGGUAUAUUAAUG